UACGGGGGGGGCAAGCGUUGUUCGGAAUUACUGGGCGUAAAGGGCUCGUAGGUGGCCAACUAAGUCAGACGUGAAAUCCCUCGGCUUAACCGGGGAACUGCAUCUGAUACUGGAUGGCUGGAGAUUGGGAGAGGGAUGCGGAAUUCCAGGUGUAGCGGUGAAAUGCGUAGAUAUCUGGAGGAACACCGGUGGCGAAGGCGGCAUCCUGGACCGGUAUUGACGCUGAGGCGCGAAAGCCAGGGGAGCAAACGGG
rnacentral:rRNA from 1 species